UUUUUUGACUAUUCUCUAGCCUCUUAUAGCCACCGCUGUGCAGUUCUAUCUACUCCACUAGCUUUUCAUUGCCUUCUCAUUUCUAUAUAUUCACCAUCAUCUUCAUCUUCACAAGCCUUUAUUUUAUUUUAUUUUUAGUUCACAUAAGCAUACAAUAACAAGAUGAAUAAUCCUAAGUAUGCUUAUCCAUAUCCAUCUCAAGGUUAUUAUCAAGGACCUCCAGUGAUGGCACCUCCUCAGUACUAUGCAGCUCCACCACCAAGAAGAAGUUCUGGCUUUCUUGAAGGAUGCUUAGCAGCUUUGUGUUGUUGCUGCUUGAUUGAUGAGUGCUGCUGUGAUCCUUCAAUUAUAUUUGUCACUUAAUUAUUAUUAAUGAAUGAAUAUCAUGUUUGUGAUCUUUGCCUUCUUUCUUAUUUGCUUUCUUUUGAGUGUAAUGGAUAUAUUAUAAAUAUUAUGUGCA